rnacentral:rRNA from 1 species
AUUGAACGCUGGUGGCAGGCAUAACACAUGCAAGUCGAACGCGUGGAGAACGGCUGAGUAAUGUCUGGGAAACUGCCUGAUGGAGGGGGAUAACUACUGGAAACGGUAGCUAUUAACGCAUAAUAUCGGAUGUGCCCCGAUGGGCUUAGCUAGUAGGUGGGGGAACGGCAACCCUAGGCGACGAUCCCUACCUGGUCGGAGAGGAGGACCAGCCACACUGGAACUGAGACACGGUCCAUACUCCUACGGGAGGCAGCAGUGGGGAAUAGUGCACAAUGGGCGCAAGCCUGAUGCAGCCAUGCCGCGUGUAUGAAGAAGGCCUUCGGGUUGUAAAGUACUUUCAGCGGGGAGGCGUUACCCGCAGAAGAAGCACCGGCUAACUCCGUGCCAGCAGCCGCGGUAAUUC